CGUCAGAACGAACGCUGGCGGCGCGUCUAAGCAUGCAAGUCGAACGGCAAGAGGUAGCAAUACCUCCUAGAGUGGCGGACUGGUGAGUAACACGUGGGUGACAUACCCUUCAGAUGGGGAUAGCUAUUAGAAAUAGUAGAUAAUACCGAAUACGAGCACAGGGGUUAGAGAUCUGUGAGGAAAGGAGCUAAGGCUCCGCUGAAGGAAUGGCCUGCGGCCCAUUAGCUAGUUGGUGAGGUAAGAGCCCACCAAGGCGAUGAUGGGUAUCCGGCCUUAGAGGGUGAACGGACACAUUGGGACUGAGAUACGGCCCAGACUCCUACGGGAGGCAGCAGCUAAGAAUAUUCCGCAAUGGACGAAAGUCUGACGGAGCGACGCCGCGUGGAUGAAGAAGGCCGGAAGGUUGUAAAAUCCUUUUGAAACUGAAGAAUAAGCGUUGUAGGGAAUGACAGCGUGGUGACAGUAGGUUUUGAAUAAGCAACGGCUAAUUACGUGCCAGCCGCCGC
rnacentral:rRNA from 1 species